rnacentral:rRNA from 1 species
AGCUCAAUAGCGUAUAUUAAAGUUGUUGCCGUUAAAAAGCUCGUAGUUGAACUUUCACGGACCCAUGCGGUCUGCCUCACGGUAAGUACUGUGUGGGUCUGUGCUCCUUGGUGGUGAGCCUUGAUGUCGUUUGUUCGGCGUCUCGGUGAACCACCUCUGUUACCUUGAGAAAAUUAGAGUGUUCAAAGCAGGCAAAUGCCCGAAUACAUUAGCAUGGAAUAACGAAAUAGGACGUGCGGUUCUAUUUUGUUGGUUUCUAGAGUCGCCGUAAUGAUUAAUAGGGAUAGUUGGGGGCAUUAGUAUUCAGUUGCUAGAGGUGAAAUUCUUGGAUUUACUGAAGACUAACUACUGCGAAAGCAUUUGCCAAGGAUGUUUUCAUUAAUCAAGAACGAAGGUUAGGGGAUCGAAAACGAUCAGAUACCGUUGUAGUCUUAACAGUAAACUAUGCCGACUAGGGAUCGGGCGACCUCAAUUUGAUGUGUCGCUCGGCACCUUACGAGAAAUCAAAGUCUUUGGGUUCGGGGGGGAGUAUGGUCGCAAGGCUGAAACUUAAAGGAAUUGACGGAAGGGCACCACCAGGAGUGGACCUCGCUA